rnacentral:rRNA from 1 species
UACGUAGGGUGCAAGCGUUGUCCGGAAUUAUUGGGCGUAAAGAGCUCGUAGGCGGUCUGUCGCGUCGGCUGUGAAAACCCGGGGCUCAACCCCGGGCCUGCAGUCGAUACGGGCAGACUAGAGUGCGGUAGGGGAGACUGGAAUUCCUGGUGUAGCGGUGAAAUGCGCAGAUAUCAGGAGGAACACCGGUGGCGAAGGCGGGUCUCUGGGCCGUAACUGACGCUGAGGGGCGAAAGCGUGGGGAGCGAACAGG